rnacentral:rRNA from 1 species
CCUACGGGUGGCAGCAGUGAGGAAUAUUGGUCAAUGGACGAGAGUCUGAACCAGCCAAGUAGCGUGAAGGAUGACUGCCCUAUGGGUUGUAAACUUCUUUUAUAUGGGAAUAAAAUGUUCCACGUGUGGGGUUUUGUAUGUACCAUAUGAAUAAGGAUCGGCUAACUCCGUGCCAGCAGCCGCGGUAAUACGGAGGAUCCGAGCGUUAUCCGGAUUUAUUGGGUUUAAAGGGAGCGUAGGUGGAUGGUUAAGUCAGUUGUGAAAGUUUGCGGCUCAACCGUAUAAUUGCAGUUGAAACUGGCAGUCUUGAGUAGGGUAGAGGUGGGCGGAAUGCGUGGUGUAGCGGUGAAAUGCUUAGAUAUCACGAAGAACUCCGAUUGCGAAGGCAGCGCACUGGACUGCAACUGACACUGAGGCACGAAAGUGUGGGUAUCAAACAGGAUUAGAUACCCUUGUAGUC